UACGUAGGGUGCAAGCGUUAAUCGGAAUUACUGGGCGUAAAGCGUGCGCAGGCGGUUUGUAAGUCUGACGUGAAAUCCCCGGGCUCAACCUGGGAAUUGCGUUGGAGACUGCAAGGCUGGAGUCUGGCAGAGGGGUGAGAAUUCCACGUGUAGCAGUGAAAUGCGUAGAGAUGUGGAGGAACACCGAUGGCGAAGGCAGCCCCUGGGUCAAGAC
rnacentral:rRNA from 1 species